rnacentral:lncRNA from 10 species
AACACCACCUGCCAACAUUCAGCCUCCUCUGCCCAUCAGCCUUGCUGACACAGGGAGUGGAGAUUUGUGUAGAGAAAUGACUCAUUCAAAUAUGACUUAAUCUAAACCGUAAGUGUAUGAUUUAUUAAUGUGCCACCAGGCCUUACACCAAGAGAGCCAUUCCAGAGAAAAGUCCUUUUUCUCCUGAGAACAGUGCCAGCAGCUGGCUUCGUGACAUUCUGGAAGCCCCGUGCAAUGCUGUCAGGAGCAUAGGGAUUUUACUUUAUCUCCCUUGCUUAUGCUCCACAUAACUGAAAUAUCUCACUGGAAGCUGCAGCAGUGCUGGCCCCUUGCACAGCCAUAUGUGACCACUGCAGAACAAUCAGUUGGAGAGACAGUUUGGACUACAUGGAGGGUGGAGAUAAGGACAAAGUGAAGAAUACACAGGAACCAGUGCCUCCUCCUGGAACUAUGCAACUCCAAGCUGCUUCCAUCAGCUGCUAGGUCCAGUAGGGAGGGACCUACUGAGAGAAGGUGCCUGCUUCCCUUUCCGCUGUGAUUGUAAGUUUCCUGAGGCCUCCUCAGCCAUGUGGAACUGUACUCAGACCCAGAACAUACUGUUUUCACUCCAAGAGUCUGAAUGUCUCUUUUCUGAGAAAGAUGAAGAAAAAGUACUUUUUUCAUGAAUUUAAUACUCAUUAAAGUCAAUAGUCGGAAAGCCUGGCUAAUUAGCAGACUUCUUCAGAGGACUUUAAAUAAUAUAGUUACUGUAUUUUUAUUAUAUUGAAAUCUCCAAAUAUAUAAAGUUAGAAUCUUCAAGGUGGGAGGAAGAGGAGAAAUUGGAUUUCUCUAAGCUCCCUAGUGAUUCUGAUGAUGACUCAUUUGGGGAAGUGCAGCAUUGAAUGGCCCUUCUAAAAUGAGGACAGCUAUUUUUUGGACUAAGCACCCCUCCCGACUCUCCCCAUUCCUCAUCCUCUCAGAGACUUCUCUCUCUCAGAUUGCCCCAUCUGUCUCAUGUAUUAUAAUCACUUCCCCUCUACUGGUUUCUUCUCAUACGUUUAACUUGUUCAAGUGCCUUCCAUCUUUAAAAACAGUCAAGGCACAGCCCUUGAUUUAACCAUAGGAAGCCCGCUCCCCACCACCCUGCCAUCAGCUCUCUUCUUCCUGUGUAGUGAGCACUGCUUCUUUGAGCUUCUGAAAGCUGUAGUCACUGCCUCUUGCUGGUAACUGAAAGCACAUUUCUAAGUUCGCAUAUUCCCUGACUUCUUGACAGCACUCAUGACUCGCCAUCUCCUUUUCUGGAACACUGUUUGCUUGGCUUUCACAAUAUCAUGCUUUUCUAGUUCUUUUUCCUGUUUUGGACACUGCUUUACAGAGAAUUAACAUUCCUCUUUUUCCCGCUGACCCUGAAUCAAGAAAGAAUCAUGUUUCUUUCUUUAUUUUUUAUAUCUUAACUUUUGAGGGGUAGAUUUUCAAGCAUACAUAAAAGUGAAGAGAACAGGAUAAUGAACUAGGUGUACACAUGACUGCAUCUUAUCAGUGCAAUACACACUCAUAUUACUUUUUCUAUACUUCAUCCAUUUUCUCCCUGCUCCCUGACUUGGAUCAAAUCCCAGACAUUACAUUAUUUAACCUGCAAAUAUUUCAUCAUAUAUAUGUGGGAAUAUAUAGAUCUCUAUCACUAUAUAUAGUGAGAAUUUCUUUCAAAGAAAAGAUAAUCACAAUAUUAUAAUCUCAUCAAAUGUAGUUGUUAUAAUUCCUUAAUGUCAGUCUAAUAACAAUCCUGUUUUCACAAUUUCUUCUCUUGUAGAUUUUUAAAAAUUAAUUUUGUUGAAUUGAAAUCUAAAUAAGAUACAGAGAUAAAGAUUCAUUGACAUGUCCCUUAAGUAUUUUAGUUUAUAGGCUGUCCUACUAUAUUCCCUGCCUCUUCUUGCAUUUUAUCUUGAUUCAGUUGAAAACUCUGGGUCAUUUGUCUUAUAAAGUUCAUGGGGUCUGCAAUUUGGUGAAGGUGUCCUUUUGGCAUUAUUUAACAUGCGUCUCUGUUCCUUGUAUUUUCUAGAAAUUAUUGGUUAUAUCUAGAGGUUUGAUCAGAUUUAGGUGAAAUUAUAAAAAGAUUCCGUCAUAGGUGAUUUUGUGAAGUUCCAUCAGAAGGUACCCAUCUGGUUUUCUCUCCUUUUGUGAUGCUAGCAGCCACUGAAUAUGGUAAUCUACUCCAAUCAUUAACUAAAUUUCUUUUCUGGAAUUAUUCCAAAAGAGAAACUUUUUUCAUCAUGCAUUUGGUUGUCCUGAGGUAUGAUUGUAUAGGAAAAACAGGAUAACCUACUGAUACUUUCUGUUUAAACUAGUAUUCAAAAUAAUAAAAGUAGUCCCCUAGUAUUAUCUAAAGAUUUCAAAAGACUUUUAAAAAAAUUAUUGAUGAUUUUAUGAGCUCAGGGAUUAAACAUAGUCAAUCUGUUUCAAUCCCUUGCAGUUAUUCCAAUUAAUAAUCAAAUUUUCCUGCCUUUGGCUUGCGGCAGCGUAUUCAUGUUGAAUUCUGGGUCACUUUGACAUGACUCCAGUUGUCUUUGAUGGUAUCCUUUUUGUGACAAAAUGUCCCAGGAUUAUAAUUUCCUGUCCCAUACUGGGAAACAGCCAGUUCUCCAAAGAGCUCUGGAACCAUUCAGUGAGAAAUGUAUUUAGAUGCAACAUUCUGGGUGCUAAGCAUGCCCAUUAACCUGAUCAAUCUCACGUCUUUCCUUUCUUUCAGCAUUGCCAGAAAACUCAUUUCUCAGUGACACCAUUGUAAUUACUCAUUUGAUUAUCCCGCAAUACACAUAUAAGAGUCUCAGGAAAACAGUACCAUCAGCAUUAUAUGAGCUAAUUAAAAAUGUGGUGUCCUGGACUCACGAAGCCAGAAUUGCUGAGGAGAUAGCCCGAGAAUCUGAAUUUUUAGCAGACAUUUUUUUAGGUACCUUACCCGCAGGAUCAUUUCUGUGAAUAUCCAUGAGGUGAAAAAGUCUGGGAAACACUGUCCUAGACAGGAAACGCCACGAAGUGUCUGGAUCAAAGAACAGACUAUUGCUCACAGAGCACCUUCAUAGCAUUGUUCCUCAUGCCCCCGUUGCCCAAGGGGAUGGCAGGUUGAGGACCAGAUGUACUUGCAUGUUCAGGGGAUGCAGCACAGAAGAGGAACUCCAAAAUUAUUAUUAUUAUUGUUAUUAUUAUUAUUUUUGAGAUGGAGUCUCGCUCUGUCGCCCAGCCUGGAGUGCAGUGGCGUGAUCUCGGCUCACUGCAAGCUCCGCCUCCCGGGUUCACGCCAUUCUCCUGCCUCAGCCUCCCGAGUAGCUGGGACUACAGGCACGCACCGCCACGCCCUGUUAAUUUUUUUUGUAUUUUUUUUUAGUAGAGACAGGGUUUCACCGUGUUAGCCAGGAUGGUCUUGAUCUCCUGACCUCGUGAUCCACCCGCCUCGGCCUCCCAAAGUGCUGGGAUUACAGGCGUGAGCCACCGCGCCCGGCCGAACUCCAAAAUUAUUAAACUCUGAGCGUCUGCAGGUGACUGACACAUCUGCGCUUCCUUUCUUCCAGGGUGUGGGGAAGAGCGAGAAAAAGAUUUCCGCUCUGGAAGGUAAACAAAUACUCUCUGGAGAGAGAAGAGGAAUGUCCCUAGCAGAUGUCUCCAGAGAAGACAAGACUUUAAAUUCCGCCAGGGAAAUAUACAAUGUCUAACUUCUAAGGCACAUUUGCCAUUCAAUCAUGCUUUAACCCACGUUGCCAGAAAUUUUUGCUCACUAGGUUUUGACUGUACAGGAAUGUGAAAAUAUUCAUGAAGAGUUGUUUUCCAAUGCUAAAGAAUUGAUGUGUUUUAACAGUUGAAUUAAUUGUAUUGAUUAUGAUCACACCUACUUUUUAUAUAUCUUCAUUUCUAACGUUUCUGUACAAUCCUGCCUUUCCACCUGAUAUAGUUAGGCCUUGUGUCAUCAACCAAAUCUCAUCUUGAAUUGUAAUCGCCAUAAUCCCCACGUAUUUAGGGAGAGACCUGGAGGGAGGUGUUUGGAUCAUGGGGGCGGUUUCCCGCAUGCUGUUCUCAUGACCAUGAGAGUAAGUUCUCAAGAGAUCUGAUGGUUUUAUAAGCGUCUGUCAUUUCCACUGCUUGCACUUCUGUGUCCUGCCACCUUGUGAAGAAGGACGUGGUUGCUUCCCCUUCCACCAUGAUUGUGUUUCCUGAGGCCUCCCCAGCCUUGCAGAGCUGUGAGUCAAUUAAACCUCUUUCCUUUAUAAAUUACUCAGUCUCUGUAUUCCUCUGCAGCAGUGUGAGAACAGACUAAUACAUCACCACUUUAUUUACUUUACUCUCUCCCCAUACCGAGGUUUUCUACAUUUUCUUUCUAGGUCUCUACAGUUUCUGCAAAGAUCCUUUAUGGAACUCUUAGGGAAGCUGGGAUGUAUAAUAAAUAAAGGGCUCUUUUCUUUGAGUCCCACACCCAUUUUCUGUGUAUAAAAAUCUUCAACUCCACUUUUGUCUGUUCUAUUUAAAUGUGUGCACAUUUCCUUCUAAUGUUGUAUAUGAAAAAGAGACACCUCUUAGCAGUCUUUCAUAGAGCAAAAUUUUUUACUUUGAUAAAAUCUAAUUUAUCAAUAUUUUUAAAUUUUAUGGAUCAAUCAUGCUUUUGAGGUUGAAUUUAAGAAUGCUUUGCCUAGCCCUAGAUCCCAAGUAUCUUUUAAAAAUUAUUUUUCUAAAUGCAUUAUUUAUGUUUUACACUUAAGUCUAUAAUCCAUUUUGAGUCCAUGUGUAAGAUUUAGGUUAAGGUCAAGAUUUAUCUGUUUUUGUUGUUUUCUCUAUAAAUGUCAAUUGCUCCAGCACUAUUUGUUUAAAAGCCAAUCUUUCCUCCGCUGAGUUCUUCCUAUAAGUUUGUCAAAAGUCAAUUUGGCAUCUUUGUAUAAGUUUAUUUCUGGAUUCUCUAUUCUGUUUUAUUGAUCACUGCAUCUAUCCCUCUUGAUUAGCUAGAUAAUAAAUCCUACAAUAAGGUAGAAUUCUUCCCACUUUAUUCAUAUUCAAAAUAUUUUAAAGCUAUUCUAGUUUCUUUUUAUUUCCAUAUAUAUUUUAGGAUAAUCUUAUCUAUAUUUACAACAUAUGUUGCUAGGAUUUUGAUAGAAUUUGUUUUAAAUUUGUGUAUCAAUGUAGGGAAGACCUGACAUCUUUACUAUUACGUUGAUCUUCCAAUCAAUGAAUAUGGUAUAUCUCUCAGUUUAUAGCUAUUGUCUUUAAUUUAUUUCAUCAUGGUUUUUAGUUUUCAGCAGAGAAGCUUUAUACAUGUUUUGUUAUACAUGUAUAACAAAAGAAGCCUUAUACACUGACAUUUUAUAUUUUGAACAAUUGUAAAUGGUAUUGUUUAAAAAUUUUGUUGUCUAUGAUAGAAAUAAAAUUGAUUUUUGUAGGUUUAUCUUGUAACCUAUGACUUGCUGAGCUCGCUCAUUAGUUUUUUUAUUGUGAUAAAAUAUACAUGAGAUAAAUUUCAUCAUUAUAAUCAUUAAGUUUAGACAUCAAUUGCAUUAAGUACAUAAAUGCCUUAUGCAACCAUCAUCUCUAUCCAUCUCCAGACCCUUUGCAUCACCCUAAAAUGAAACUCUGUGCCCAUUAAACAAUAACUCCCCAUUCUGCCCUCACCCCAGCCCUUGGUAAUUACCAUCCUACCUUUUAUCUCUAUAAAUUUAACCAUCCCAGGUAACUCAUAUAAGUGGAAUCAUGCAGUGUUUGUCCUUUUGUAACUGGUUUAUUUCACUUAGCAUGAUGUCUUCAAGGUUUGCCUAUGUCAUAGCAUGUGUCAGAAUUUCAUCCCUUUUUAAACUUAAAUAAUAUUCCACUGUAGGCAUAUGCCACAUUUUGUUUAUUUGUUCAUCUGUUGAUGGGCAUUUGGGUUGUUUCCACCUUUUGGCUACUGUGAAUAAUGCUGCUGUGAUCAUGGGUAUGCAACUGUCUCCUGGAGUCCCUGCUAUCAAUUCUUGUGGGUAUAUACCCAGAAGUGGAAUUGUUGCAACAUAUAGUAAUUCUAUGUUUAAUUUUUUGAGGACCUGCCAUAAUGUUUUCCACAGUAGCUACAUUGUCUUAUAUUCCCAUUAAGAGUUCCAAUUUCCUCACAUCUUCACCAAUACUUAUUGUUUUCUGUUUUUUUAAAUAAUAGCCAUCAUAAUAAAAGUAACAUGGUAUCUCAUUGUGGUUUUAACUGCAUUUCCCUUUUUACUGGAUUGUUUGUAAUAUUGCUGUAAUUGAGUUGUAGGAGUUUUUAAAUAUGUUCUGAAUAAUUAAUUUCUUAUCAGAUAUGUCAUUUGCAAAUAUUUUCUGCCAUUCUCUGGGUUGUCAUUUCACUCUCUUGAUAGUGUCCUUUGAUGCACAGAAGUUUUGAAAUUUGAUAAAGUUUAAUUUGCGUAUGUAUUUAUUUUGUUGCUUAUGCUUUUGGUGUCAUAUCCAAGAAAUUAUUGCCAAAUUCAGUGUCAUGAAGAUUUUCCCCUGUGUUUUCCUCUAAGAGUAUUAUAGUUUUAACUCUUGCACUUAGAUUGAUCCGCUUUGAGUUAAUUUUAGUAUAUGGGGUAAGACAAGGGCUCAAAUUUGUUCUUUUGUUUGAAGAUUCUAGGUCAUUUGUGAUCUUUAGGAUUUUCUAUGUAGACAUUAAUGUCAUCUUCAAAUAUGAACAGUUUAUUUCUUCCUUUUGUAUAUGUAUGAAUUUACUUUCCUUUUCUUGCCUUAUUGCACUGGCUAGAGUUUUCAGUACUAUGAUGAAUAAAAUCAGUGAGAGCAGACACCCUUGCUUUGUUUCUAAUCUUAGGAGGAAAGCUUUCAGUCUUUCAUCAUUAGGUAUACUGUUAGUUGUAGGCUUAUUAUAGAUGCUCUUUAUCAGGUUGAGGCAGUUUCCUCCUUGGUUAAGACUUUCUAUUUUUCAUUUUCAGUUAUGACCAGGCAUGUUCAUAACUGCUCAUCAAAACUUUGAAUUAGUGGCUGCUUUAACAUCCUUCUCAGACAAUUCUAACAUCUGUUUUGUUGGUGGUGGCAUCUAUCAAUUGUCUUUUUCAUUCUGUUUGAGAUCUUCCUUGCGUUUGGUAUGAUUUUUUUAAAUAUUAUGUCAUGAAACUGCAUCUUAUUUAAAUCUUCUGUUUUAGUUGGCUAUGUCUGACAUCACUUCCCCAGGGGAAGGUGUUGUUACUGCUAGUGGAGGGUGAGAAUUAUGGCUCUCCACUGACAUUGUGGUGGGAUUGGUCCCAUUACCACUGGGCAGGGUUGAAAGUCCUGACUUUCUGCUAGGCCUUCUCUGACUUCAUCGCAGCAGGAGGAAAAGAUGCCUCUGGAGUUGAAGUCAGGUUGCACUGACACUGUGUGUGUAUGGAGGUAGGCUGGGGUGAAAGUGGAGACUCAUUACCACAUGGUGAGUAGUUUCCAGCUCUCUAUUUGGCCUUCUCUGAUACCACCCAGACAGGGACAUUGGGGAUACCUCAUUACAGCCUAGUGAGGGUCAAACUCUAGGCUCCCCACUCAGUCUUUGCUAUCAUGGACACUGUAGGACCAUAGUUUUUUCUGUGCUGUUUGCUUGAUGUGUCUUCCUUGGACCCUGAGUUCCAUAGCUGGUCUGCAUUCCUCUCUCCACCUUUAAGACGUCUUCUUAUGUUUAUUUCAUAUUUAACAUCCAGGGUGGUAAUUAGAGGGAAGAAUAGAGGGAAAAGUACAGUUGCACUUUGUUGUUCAAAGAGCAGUUUUGAACUGCACAGACCCAUUUCUCUGAGCACACCCAGGGAUGAUUGUACUUGUAUAAAAUUUUUUUCCUGGAUGCAGAAUUCUCAAUUGACUGUGAAAGUUCAUAACAAAGAAAACAGUGGGGAAGACAAAUCUGGAAAUGAGGAAAAUAAAAAUUAAAUAGUGAGACCACCCAUGGAGCUUGUGGCAAAGCCUGAAUUGAAUCCGCUGUAUCUUAAGAUUGUGCCUCAUUCUAAAUUUAAGUCACCCUUCUCAUUAUGAAAGUGUCACAACUUCUCAGUAGGUGAGGAGACAGUCUAAAUUUGAGAAAAGAAAGUUACAACAAAGGUUUUGAGCAAGCUGCUAAGUGGAUUUAUUCAUGUUUGAGAAAUCAAAUAUAUGGUUAAUGAGCUCUUUAACUAGAAGCCAACACUAGGGAGGAGUAGACAGAAGUCACGGGGAGGGAGCCCCCGGACAUUUCAAAAGACUUUGCCCUGCAACAUCUCCUCCACAUUUAAGCUUUUAGGUUAUUGUAGCCACAUCACAAGCAUGUUACCUACCCAGAUAUUGUCUGCGCAUCAUUCCCAAAAGCUUCCCUGGGUCUUCAUAAUAUUAAUGAGAUUCUCCCCCAGGUUAGACCCCUUUGGCUUGAGUCAGAAACAGAAUUAAUCCGGGGGACAAUCCAGCAGCACCCAUCUCUGGGUUGCAGAAAUAUCUGAGGUGACCAGGCAGUGUUUGGAGUCCCCUCAGUUAGCUAACAAAGUGAGUUCACAGCUUCCAAGACCCCAGGCUUUCCAGGCUAAUAAAGAGCUGAGGUUAUAGGCUCUCCUUAUCAAACGCUCUUUGGCAGCUGCCAUAACCAUUCCAAGUCUAGUCCUAGAAUAGAAAUGACGCGGUUUCAGGAGCUGACAGAUGGAACUUUAAGCCUUCCUUCCUGCCACAUCUGAAGUUCUUUUUUAAAAAAAUAGAAAACCAUGACAAUAAACACUCCUUGAAUGCCCUGUGGAAAAGUGUACUCCUCAGAAUUCACUAAAGUGGGGUGAAGCAGUGGGUUGUGGUGCUGAGAAAACAUCUCUUCCCCUCGGCAGUAUAUUGGAAUCUCAUAGAAACUUCUGUGGCUGGGAAGCAAACAUGCUCUCUGCCCCAUUGCUCUUAUUCAUCUUUAGACCUGAUAAUACAGUUUGAACUUCAAGUUGCACUUUAAAUGGCAUGCAUUUUUA